rnacentral:lncRNA from 1 species
GCUUUCUCACCAUGAGAUGCUUUCUGUUAUGUUAUGACACAGCAAGAAGGUCCUCACAAGAUGUGACCUCCUGUUCUUGGACUUCUCAGCCUCCAGAAUCAUGAGGGAGCGAAAGAAGUCAAACCUCUACCAGACUGGACAGAAUUUGCAUGUGUAUCUCUUACCUGCAAGUUACAGAGUUAUCAAAUAUCUCAAAGAUAAUGAAAAUCGAGAAUCAGAUAACUGCUUGGGUUAUCUAGACAAUAACUGAUUUUCCAUUGAAACACAAUUUUUUCUAUACCAUUAUCCUUUUAAAUCGGGGAUUGGUCAACUACAACCUAUCGACCUGUGGGCCAAGUCUGGCCUGCUGCUUAUUUUGCACAGCAAAUAAGAAAAAUAGUCUUUAUUGAUGAACAUUUGCAAUUGAUCUGAUCAUAAGGAACACAAACUUUGAGUCCCAAGUUAAGUGAAAGGUUAUCCCCAAAACAAAGAAUCCCAUUUUUCUCAUUAGUAGACCUGUAUUACAAAAAUUUAUACUUAUCAAUUAUUAUCAUACUUUGAGUUUUGUUAAUAAAAAUCUAAUGAAAAUGUGUUCUCUCUUUUUAUGUAUGUAUGUAUUUUGGAUUUUGCUUCGUUACCUGAAGAGCCCAAACUAUUUGUUAUCAGGUAAUUUAUGAAAAAGCUUGCCAACCUCUAAUCUACUUU